rnacentral:rRNA from 1 species
AGUGAACGCUGGCGGUAGGCCUAACACAUGCAAGUCGAACGGCAGCACAGUAAGAGCUUGCUCUUACGGGUGGCGAGUGGCGGACGGGGGAGGCAUACAUCGGAAUCUACUUUUUCGUGGGGGAUAACGUAGGGAAACUUACGCUAAUACCGCAUACGACCUACGGGUGAAAGCAGGGGAUCUUCGGACCUUGCGCGAUUGGAUGAGCCGAUGUCGGAUUAGCUAGUUGGCGGGGUAAAGGCCCACCAAGGCGACGAUCCGUAGCGGGUCUGAGAGGAUGAUCAGCCACACUGGCAGUGAGACACGGUCCAGACUCUGACGGGAGGCAGCAGUGGGGAAUAUUGGACAAUGGGCGAAAGCCUGAUACAGCCAUACCGCGUGGGUGAAGAAGGACUUCGGGUGGUAAAGCCCAGUUGUAGGGAAAGAAAAGCAGCAGGUUAAGACCCCGCUGUUCUGACGGUACCCAAAGAAUAAGCACCGGCUAACUUCGUG